ACCAAUUCUGGGGGAGAAUUAAAGUUCCUCUUGGCAUAAUGGCUUAGACGCUAAAGGGAAGAGGAGUGGCAUAUCCUGAUCAAUGGACUCUUUCACUGUGCUAUUGCAUCCUGGAAACACCACUUACAUAU
rnacentral:snoRNA from 1 species